rnacentral:rRNA from 1 species
GUCUACGGCCAUGCCACCCUGAACGUGCCGGAUCCCGUCUGAUCUCGGAAGCUAAGCAUGGUCGGGCCUGGUGAGUACUUGGAUGAGACCACCUAGGAAGACCAGGUGCUGUAGACG